GACGUAGGAUGCAAGCGUUGUCCGGAUUCAUUGGGCGUAAAGAGUUCGUAGGCGGUUUCUUAAGUCUGAUGUGAAAGCCCACGGCUCAACCGUGGAGGGUCAUUGGAAACUGGGGAACUUGAGUGCAGAAGAGGAAAGUGGAAUUCCAAGUGUAGCGGUGAAAUGCGUAGAGAUUUGGAGGAACACCAGUGGCGAAGGCGACUUUCUGGUCUGUAACUGACACUGAGGCGCGAAAGCGUGGGGAGCGAACAGG
rnacentral:rRNA from 1 species